CUUGAUUAGAUGCACCUAGCUCUCCAGAUUGUCUAGAUGAGCACCCAAAUGCUAUGGACCCAUUCAUGGAUGUGGUUUGAAGAUCCCCAGAGACUUGAUCAAAAUGAAUGAAAUCCCUUACAAAGUAUCCUGAAGUUGAGCUGCCAUCUCCGUAAGUAACCUGAUAUUCACAGGGUGUUCCCACCCUGCAAUCUGAGUAGGGAGCAUUAAACAUAUCAGUGCAGAAGUCUUGGUCGCAAG
rnacentral:misc_RNA from 1 species